UGGGGGAUAUUGCACAAUGGGCGCAAGCCUGAUGCAGCGACGCCGCGUGGGGGAUGAAGGCCUUCGGGUUGUAAACUUCUUUUGCUCUGAACAAGGCGCACUUUGGGGUGUGUUGAGUGUAGGGGUUGAUUAGCGCCGGCUAACUACGUGCCAGCAGCCGCGGUAAUACGUAGGGCGCGAGCAUUGUCCGGAAUUAUUGGGCGUAAAGGGCUUGUAGGUGGCUGGUUGCGUCUGUCGUGAAAGCUCAUGGCUUAACUGUGGGUUUGCGGUGGGUACGGGCUGGCUUGAGUGCAGUAGGGGAGGCUGGAAUUCCUGGUGUAGCGGUGGAAUGCGCAGAUAUCAGGAGGAAUACCGGUGGCGAAGGCGGGUCUCUGGGCUGUUACUGACACUGAGGAGCGAAAGCAUGGGGAGCGAACAGG
rnacentral:rRNA from 1 species